rnacentral:rRNA from 1 species
ACGGAGGAUCCAAGCGUUAUCCGGAUUUAUUGGGUUUAAAGGGAGCGUAGGCGGUUUGUUAAGUUAGAGGUGAAAGCUCACGGCUCAACCGUGAAACUGCCUCUGAUACUGGAGAGCUAGCGAGUAGAUGCUGUUGGCGGAAUGUGUGGUGUAGCGGUGAAAUGCGUAGAGAUCACACAGAACACCGAUUGCGAAGGCAGCUGACAAAACUACGUCGGACGCUGAGGCACGAAAGCGUGGGGAGCAAACAG